AAUCAUGAGGGGAAUUCCAUUAGUUCUGUAAAUAAGCUCCACCUAGUGACAUGAGUAGAUUCUUCCUUGUUGUUGUUGUCUUUAGGAUGUACAUAGGUGGGAAUAAUGAAUUUCAAUUAGUGGCUUUUAGUUGGGUUACCUAGUUCAAGCCAAACUUUAGUAUUACGGUUCCUUGUUUUGCUAAUUUGUUCUAGGUUGUCUGAAGAGUAAGAUAGUGAAAUAUCAGGUCAUGUAUUAGUAGAUACUGUCUUCUAGUUCCGUUGCUAAUUUUACUUGACUUUUCAAGUAGAUUACUGAAGUUUCUGUAUAUCUCGUCCCUUUGCUUGGCUUGACUUGUUUCUUCGUCUUCUUCUGUCUCUAGUCUUUCUUUCCACUAGCAACUAUAAGCGUUUUCUUUUUUCCUCCCUCUUGGCUUCAUUCUGCUUCCCAAGCUUCAACCAUCUACGCUUGGGAAUGCUUUACCAAACUUAUUCUAUCGCAUACCCAAGCUUCUUCUUCGUUGUUCUCUAUCAGAGGCAUUUAGUAGCAGCAUGUCUUUCCUACGCUUUCCCGCAUUUUUGGAAGGGGAAGCUGGGAGCGGCUCUGCCUACUUUGACAUGCUUCAUGACCUUUGCAUCAUCUCCUUCCUUUCACACUUGAUCUGUCGAGGUCUCUCGAUUUCCUUUUUAGGUGUAAUGGCUGUCGAAUUGUUAGUUGGACUCGGGUAGACUUUACGUGGUUAGAUGCCCACCAGAACGGCUCUGCGUGCUUUUGACAUGCAUUGCGCCAUGACCUUUGCAUCGUCUCUUUUUCUUGUUCUGUGUAGAUUUCUGUCUCCUGUCUAGGUGUAGCGGCUGUCGAAAGGUUUGUUUGAUCUAGUAGUGUUACGUGGUUAGAUGCCGCAUGCAGCCUGAAGCUCCAUUUUCUGAUGAGAUUCUGAAAUUGGGGACUCAGUCAAUCAAUCUUCCCUGACCGAACGCCGCGGCUCUUCUGCGCUUCGGAAGCAUGCUUGCAGUUGUUUGCUAAGAAUUUGCCUGCGCUUGUUCUAAUUUCUCGUAUAGCUAGGGAGCGUAGGAUCAGUAGCUCGUUGAGGCAAAUAUUAGAAAGAAUGGAAAAAGGAGGUAGGAUUAUGGUUGAUCUUUUUCUUGGUGUUCGUGGUUCGGUGGAAUGUUCAAGAACUUAUGUUGAAAUUUUCUUUUAAAUAGGCUUAAUGUAGAGAUUGAUCCGCUUUUGUUGUUA